AUGUAGUAUAUAUAUAUAUAUAUAUAGUGUAUCUCUUCUCUUUUUCUUUUUCCCUUAUAUCCGGAAACCUAAUGGAGUUUGAUUCUUUUAGAAGAUUAUUAUGCAAAAUUGGGGUUGGAGGAGUAUGAAGGGGGUAAGGAAUAGGGGGUUGGAUCGGCUGAUGUGGUGGAAGAGUUUGAUGAUUAUUGAUUUUGUGUUGUAGGGAAACUUCUACAACAGACCAUGGCUUCUGUUUGGCAACCUGUGAAGGUUAUGACAGGGAAAGAUCUUGAGGGAAAUAGGUAUGUUUUCAAUUUCUUUCAUGCACUGGAUGUAGAACGUGUAUUAGCAGAAGGUCCUUGGAGUUUUCAGCGAAAUUUUUUGUUGUUGAAAUCACUUAAGCAAAAUGAGAAUCCACAUGCUGUGGUUUUCUUUAAAGCUAAAUUCUGGGUUCAAGUGUAUGGUUUAGUUUCUGGGUUGCGAUCAGAGCAUGUGUUGAAGGAUGUGGGAGGUUAUGCUGGAGAGUUUUUAGAGUCUGAUGCUAGAAAUUUUAAAGGGGGGUGGAAAACCUACUAUAGGGUGCGGGUGGAAAUAGACGUUAGGAAGCCAUUGAAGAGGAAGAUGAAAUUACGGAAAACAGGUCAGAAUGGGUGUGGGUGAAUUUUAAAUAUGAAAGGUUACCGACCUUUUGAUUUUUCUGUGGUGUGAUUGGACACUCUGACCGUGUUUUAAUUGCAAAAUUCAUAUUCCUAAAGACAAGUAUCUCUUUGGUGAAUGGCUGAGAGCUCCUACGAGAAAGAUUACCAAUGUGGGAUCACGGUGGUUGAGGGAGGAAGGUGGUGGCUGGUCGGAGGAGAAAUCAUCAUAGCAUGCACCGAUGGAGGAUGAUUUGGUUCCUGAAACUGUGCAAAAGGGAAUCCAGAUUCGAAAUUCAAACGAUGGAGGGAUAAGGGAUGAGUUUGUUAAGGUAGGUAACGUGUUAGUGAAGGAUGGAGCGGUUGGUGUUAUUAUUACGGAAUUAAAGCGACGUCGUACUGAGGAGAAUGUGGCUAAUGAUUCGGAGUCUAUUGAAUCUGUUGAGGAAUAUGGAGAGGGGCUAAAAAACUGCGGGUCCUGGACAUCAGGCCCGCCUAGCCAUAUAACGUGUUUAAGCUGGAAUUGUCGGGGGCUUGGGAACCAAGCUUCAGUUUGAGAGCUAAAUGAUAUUGUAACUGAUAAGCGGCCCAAAAUGUUAUUUUUAAUGGAAACUUUAAUACAAAAAAAUAAAGUUCGACGAAUAAAAUCGCUACUGGGGUUUGAAGGAUGUUUUGCGGUAGACCCAGUGGGGAGGUGCGGUGGUUUGUUGCUGUUUUGGAAGGAGAAGAGUUCUGUUAGUUUAAUUAGCUAUUCUAAGAAUCAUAUUAAUGUAGCUGUUAGAGAAUAUGUUAUACGGGCUUGGCGGUUCACAGGGUUUUACGGCUUUCCUGAAAGUACUAGAAGAAGGGGAGUCGUGGGUUUUUCUGAAAUCGUUAAAGUCCAAAUCCACACUACCCUAGUGUGUGAUGGGAGACUUUAAUGAUUUGCUGUCUAAUAGGGAGAAGGUGGGUGGUGUGCCAAGAGCUAGAUGGUUGAUAGAAGGUUUUUGGGAGGCAGUGUGGGAGGCGGGUUUGUCUGAUGUUGCUUUUGAUGGUGAUUUGUUUAUGUGAGAAACUGGAAGAGAGUCUGGAGAUUUAAUUCGACAACGACUUGAUAGAGCUUUAUCUUUGGCAACUUGGAAGACAUUUUUUCCAAACGCAGUCGUUACUACUUUAGAAACUGCAACUUCUUAUCAUAAUCCUUUAUUUUUUAAGUUGGGCGUUUCUGUGGUAGUGUACAAGCUAUGCCAUUUUCGGUUUGAGAAUAGUUGGAUAAGGGAUGAUGAUGUUAAACAAUUGAUUGUGGAAAAAUGGCAGCCUAAUGAAACUAUCCUUGUUGCUGAACGGAUUAAAAAUGUUAGGGGUGGUCUAAAAACAUGGAGCGUUGAGGAGAAAGCUGUUGUUCGGCGACACCUUGGUAUUUGUAAGCGGCAGAUGCGUGAUAAUCGUGGUGCUACAGAUGUUUUUUCGAAGCAAUUGUUUGUGAUUGCUAGAGCAGCUUAUAAUGACCUUCUAAAGCAACAAGAAGUUUUCUGGAGGCAGAGAGCAAAGUAGCUGUGGCUUUCUGCGGGUGAUCUGAAUACAAAAUAUUUUCAAGAUGUACCUUCUAACAGACGAAAGAAGAAUGUAUUUACUGUUUUGAAGAAUUCAGAAGGUUCGUGGGUUGAUAGGAAUUCAGGGCUUGAUGGUUUAAUUGUGGGUUAUUUUUCUGAUUUGUUUACAUCAAAUGGUAGUAAUAGCGCGCCAGUGUUAAAUUGUGUGGAAAGAAAAGUUACUGAGAUGCAUAAUGAAUUAUUGAUGUUGCCCUAUACUUGAGAGGAGAUCAAAGCUGCUAUUUUCAGUAUGCACCCUGAUAAAUCACGGGGCCCGGAUGGACUUUAAUCCUGAUUUUUACCAACAUUACUGGGAUGUUGUAGGGGAAGAGCUGGUAAAGAGUUGUUAAUUCGGACAGUUGCACAGUCUAUUCCUACGUACGUUAUGAGUGUAUUUUUGCUUCAUGUGGGAGUCUGUAGGUCCACUGAAACAAAGUUAAAUUAAUUUUGAUGGACCGGCGGUUCAAGUGGUAUAAGGUGGAUGCGUUGGAACCGUUUAUACUUGCCGAAGGAAGAUGGGGGAUUGGAUUUUAGGAAGUUUAGGGAGUUUAAUAUGACCUUGGUUGCUAAGCAAGGAUGGCAGAUUUUAAUUCAACCCCAUACUUUGAUUUCACACCUUUUAAAGGCGAAAUAUUUUCCUCAAUGUCGGUUUUUUGAAGCAGCAAAUCUGAGUUUCUUCUAGAGUAGUGUUAUGCAGACAAUGGAUGUUUUGCGACGUGGUUGUAGGAGGAAGAUAUUUUUCAGGCUCACAAACUGAUGUGUGGAAGGAUCCAUGGCUUUUGAAUGAGGAUUCCCCGUUUGUUCAGUCUGAAAAUAACACGGGUGUUGAGAAUAUUUGUGUUGCUGAUUCUUUUCUCCCUGAAGGGGAAUGGAAUGUGGAGCUUAUUAAUGAUAUUUUUAAUCCUAGAGACAAAAAAGCUGUUCUGCAAAUCCCAAAUGUGGCAUGAUCUUUCCAAGAAGAUGGGUGGUUUUGGAAGUUUACAAAGAAUGGUGGCUAUUCAGUCAAGAGUGGCUAUAGAUUGUUAACAAAACCAGUAAGUGGAGCUGCCCAAAAUAUUCAGCAGGUUUGGAAUGCAAUUUGGCGAAUUUCGGUCCUACCAAAAAUUAAGAAUUUCUUAUGGCGGGUGCUGCAUAAUGUACUUCCAACUUGUUCAAUUUUAGUUCAGAAACAGGUGGCAGUUCAAGUGUUUUGUCCAGUUUGUGAGCAAGAACCAGAGUCAAUCGAACAUGUGUUGUUGCUGUCUGGUUUUACUAGAGGAGUCUGGUUGGUGCUUAAUAAUCUGCAGGUACAAACUCAGAUUUCGUUAUGGGAAUGGGUUUCUCAUUUAUUACAGCAGCAACUUAUGAUGGAGAUGGCUAAAAUUGGUUCGGUUCUUUACGAGUUAUGACUGAAUCGAAACUGAACAGUUUAGAAAGGAAAAGCAAGAACUGAGGUUGAGGUUGUUCGGUUGGCAUUGCAGAAGCUGAGUGAAUGGAGAGAGGCACAGAGUAAGCAUGUAAGUGCCCCAUCUUCUUCUUUAAUUGCUGAAACACCGUGGAGACCUCCUGGAAAUGGGGGCUCUUUAAAUGCAAUGUUGAUUUGAGAAAUGGACAAGCUGGUUAUGCUUUUGUUUGCCGUGAUAGUGUUGGUAAUUUUAUGCAAGCGGUGGCAGUCCCUUUAUUUACAGCUUUUGAGCCUUGUAUUGUGAGGCUAUGGGCGUCUUGGAGACCCUAAGUUGGAUCAAAACUGCUGGUUUGAACUCAGUAAUUGUGGAGACGGACUGUUUAAGCA